rnacentral:misc_RNA from 1 species
UCCGGUUUGUCACCGGCAGUCUCCUAUGAGUCCCCAACUUAAUGCUGGCAACAUAGGACAGGGGUUGCGCUCGUUGCGGGACUUAACCCAACAUCUCACGACACGAGCUGACGACAGCCUUGCAGCACCUGUCUUGGAACUCCGAAGAGGGGUCCUGGUUUCUCAGGACUUUCUCCAAGAUGUCAAGCCCAGGUAAGGUUCUUCGCGUUGCGUCGAAUUAAACCACGUGCUCCACCGCUUGUGCGGGCCCCCGUCAAUUCCUUUGAGUUUCAGCCUUGCGGCCGUACUCCCCAGGCGGGGCACUUACUGCGUUAGCGACGGCACCGGGAGGGUCGCUCCCCCCGACGCCUAGUGCCCAUCGUUUACGGCGUGGACUAC